rnacentral:misc_RNA from 1 species
AAGUCGUAACAAGGUCUCCGUUGGUGAACCAGCGGAGGGAUCAUUACAGAGCUCCGAAAGGACUCCUUACAACCAUCGCGAACGUUUCCGUACCGCGUUUCUUCGGUAGGUGGCCCCAGGGAGGGGUCCCAGGCCGUCCCCCCUCCGGGUGGGCCGGUAGCCUACCGGAGGGCACAAACUCUUAUGUAUUAUAGUGGCAUCUCUGAGUAAACAAACAAAUAAGUUAAAA